CUCCGACCACAUUUCCCCUUCCCCAUGCUUUUGAACAUCAGAUCUAUUUGAAGGAUGAUAAACGAUUAGUUGCAAGCCUUAUCGAUACAGACCACUCGAGAAGGACGAGAUUGAGAAGCAAGUUUAGCAGAUGUUAAGAACGGGGGUUAUUCGGCCUAGUUAGAGUCCUUUUACGGCUCCAGUGGUGCUGGUACAUAAAAAAGAUGGUUCAUGUUGUUUUUGCAUUGAUUAUCAGCGCCUUAAUGAAAGUACAAUCAAGAACAAGUUUCCUAUUCCUCUCAUCGAAGAGUUGCUAAACGAAUUGCAUGGCAUCUCUUACUUCUCUAAGUUGGAUCUUCGCUCUGGCUACAAUCAGAUUCGCACACAUCCAUAUGAUAUUCACAAGACAGCAUUUAGAACACAUGAAGGGUGUGUGAGCUGAUCCUCAGAAGCUUAUCGCUAUUUCUUCUUGGCCUACUCCCACUUCUAUUAAAAGCUUUACGGAGUUUCUUAGGCCUAACUGGGUAUUACCAUCGGUUUAUCUAGAAUGAUGCUUUUAUAUGUCAACCGUUGACUGUUAUGUUGAGGGUUCGAGGAAAUUCUUGUGGUCUCUGGAUGCUGAGAAAGCUUUUUCCGCCCCCAAGAAGGCUAUGACUUCUCCUCCAGUCUUAGCCUUACCUCAUUUUGACGAGCAAUUCGUCAUUGAAACAGACGCAUCUGGUUUGGGAAUAGGCACAGUUCUUUCUCAGUUGGGUCACCCAUUGGCCUUCGCCAGUAAAGCAUUCAGUCCAAGGAAGAAGGUGUUAUCAGUAUAUGAACUUGAAUUGUUGGCUAUUGUUUUUGCAGUCAAGUAAUAGAGACCUUAUUUAAUGGGUUGUUCAUUUAUAAUUCAAACAGAUCAUUUCCUGCUUAAGCAUUUAUUAGAACAAAAAUCUGUCUCUGCUGAUCAGUUUAAGUGGUUAAAUAAAUUGUGGGGUUUAUCUUAUGAGAUUGAAUAUCACAAAGGCAGUGAUAAUGUAGUUGCUGAUGUGUUGUCCCAGUAGUUUGAUGCUUCUGUUGCUAUGAUUACCUUCCUCUCUUUUGAUUUAUAUGCCAGAGUUAAGAGCUCAUGGGUUUCAAAUAAGCACGUUCAGAAGUUGAUUAAGGAGCUUGAGCAGGACUCUUCUUCCUACUCUCAUUAUUGUUGGUCAGCCGAGCUUCUCACGAGGAAGGGGAAAUUGGUUAUUGGUGCGGAUAGAGGAUUACGCCAUGAGUUAUUGACUUAUUUUCAUGCUGACGCUAUUGGAGGCCACUCUGGAGUCACACCCACUUAUCAGCGUAUUUGUUCCAUUUUUUUAUUGGAAGGGCCUUGAACGAGAUGUUAGGGAAUUCGUUCGCAACUGCAUCACUUGUCAACACUUUAAGACCAAGACAAUGGCUUCACUCGGUCUACUCUAACCAUUACCUAUUCCAGAUCACAUUUGGUCUGAUCUAUCUAUGGAUUUCAUCGGUGGGCUCCCUAAAUCCUAUUCUAAAAUGACUAUCAUGGUGGUAGCAGAUUGCUUAAGUAAGGCUGCACAUUUUGUUGCCCUUAAGCACCUGUUUACUGCAUUGAAAGUAGCUCAUCUCUUUACGGAUAAUAUAGUUAAACUGCAUAGGUUCCCUAAAUCUAUAGUGAUUGACAGAGAUCCCAUAUUUUGUGGGAAAUUUUAGUGAGAGUUAUUUAGGCUUUAUGGGGUGAUACUUAAAUACUCUUCAGCCUAUCACUCACAAUCUAAUGGUCAAACAGAAGUUCUUAAUAGAUGCUUAGAAUGUUACUUGAGAUGUCUGACCGAAGAUUUUCCCAAGCAAUGGGCUAAAUGGCUUCCUCUUGCUGAGCUUUGGUACAAUACCAGUUAUCAUUCUGCUAUUGGAAUGAUACCAUUUCAAGUUGUCUACAGUGUGUCGCCUCUAAACCAUCUUCCUUAUUUACCGAGUGAUUCCAAUGAUGAGGUUGUGGACAAGGAGUGCCUCUCAAGGGAGCUGACCACGCAACUCUUGAAGUGUCAUCUGUUGAAAGCUCAAAAUAGGAUGGUUCAGCAAGCAAACAAACAUUGUUUUUGAGCGCGUUUUUACUGUGGGAGAUUGGGUAUUCCUCAAGCUUCGUCCUUUCCGGAAGAAUCUCAUUAAUAAUUUUUCCUUACAUAAGCUCGCAACAAGAUAUUUUGGGCCUCUUGAAGUAGUUAAACGAAUCGGGAAAGUAGCAUAUGAGUAGAAGUUGCUUGAUAAUACUUGGGUACAUCCAGUGUUCCACAUUUUUCUUUUGAAGCGCGCUCCUUGAGUUGGCAUUCAGGUUAGCACAACUCUGCCACUUGUGGAUGAUGAUGGGUAUUCUAUGGAACCCUUUGCCUUGCUUGGGCAAAAAUUAGUUAAACGUGGCAAUCAACCAGUUACCCAGAUGUUGGUUCAAUGGCGCCACUCUCAACGAGAGGAUGCCACUUGGGAAGACUUAGCCUUUAUACGACAACAAUUUUCAGGUUUUCCAACUACAGCUCCUCCUUCUCAUUCAAUCCUUGUAGACAAGGUUAUUUUUUAGGGGGAGGGAAUAUUUGAUAUGUGUCAUUUAGAUUUAAUAGCUAGUGGGUCACAGUGGUAACAGAUUUGGUUAUUUUGUCAAGCAAGAUUAAGAGUAAGUUCUAUAAGCUUAUAAAAUAGGACUGAGUUGUAUCAAUGAUGCUUAGUUGAAUAAAGUCCAAAAUUACUCU